AUUGAACGCUGGCGGCAUGCCUUACACAUGCAAGUCGAACGGCAGCACGGGAGCAAUCCUGGUGGCGAGUGGCGAACGGGUGAGUAGUACAUCGGAACGUGCCUAGUAGUGGGGGAUAGCCCGGCGAAAGCCGGAUUAAUACCGCAUACGACCUGAGGGUGAAAGCGGGGGAUCGCAAGACCUCGCGCUAUCAGAGCGGCCGAUGCCAGAUUAGGUAGUUGGUGGGGUAAAAGCCUACCAAGCCGACGAGCUGUAGCUGGUCUGAGAGGACGACCAGCCACACUGGGACUGAGACACGGCCCAGACUCCUACGGGAGGCAGCAGUGGGGAAUUUUGGACAAUGGGCGCAAGCCUGAUCCAGCCAUGCCGCGUGCAGGAAGAAGGCCUUCGGGUUGUAAACUGCUUUUGUCAGGGAAGAAAAGUUCUGGGCUAAUACCCCGGAGCGAUGACGGUACCUGAAGAAUAAGCACCGGCUAACUACGUGCCAGCCGCCGCAGUAA
rnacentral:rRNA from 1 species